rnacentral:rRNA from 1 species
UACGAAGGGGGCUAGCGUUGUUCGGAAUUACUUGGCGUAAAGCGCACGUAGGCGGGCGAUUAAGUCAGGGGUGAAAUCCCGGAGCUCAACUCCGGAACUGCCUUUGAUACUGGUCGUCUAGAGAUCGGAAGAGGUGAGUGGAAUUCCCAGUGUAGAGGUGAAAUUCGUAGAUAUUGGGAAGAACACCAGUGGCGAAGGCGGCUCACUGGUCCGAUACUGACGCUGAGGUGCGAAAGCGUGGGGAGCAAACAGG